UAGGGAAUCUUCCACAAUGGACGCAAGUCUGAUGGAGCAACGCCGCGUGAGUGAAGAAGGUUUUCGGAUCGUAAAGCUCUGUUGUUGGUGAAGAAGGAUAGAGGUAGUAACUGGCCUUUAUUUGACGGUAAUCAACCAGAAAGUCACGGCUAACUACGUGCCAGCAGCCGCGGUAAUACGUAGGUGGCAAGCGUUGUCCGGAUUUAUUGGGCGUAAAGCGAGCGCAGGCGGAAGAAUAAGUCUGAUGUGAAAGCCCUCGGCUUAACCGAGGAACUGCAUCGGAAACUGUUUUUCUUGAGUGCAGAAGAGGAGAGUGGAAUUCCUUGUGUAGCGGUGGAAUGCGUAGAUAUAUGGAAGAACACCAGUGGCGAAGGCGACUCUCUGGUCUGCAACUGACGCUGAGGCUCGAAAGCAUGGGUAGCGAACAGG
rnacentral:rRNA from 1 species